UCCACCCAUUCUACCGUCGUCGCGCGGUUUCUUCUUGCUCAGCGCCGCACAGAAGUUGGCCGCGCAGAGCCACGAGAGAGGGAGAGGCAGCGCGCAGUUGCAAAGCGCUGCGCCACUUGCGAGGGUGCCUCAUCGCGCCACUCCGUCUCCCCCUCAUUUCCUCACCGCACAUCCCUUCGUCGCACACAGCCGACGGUCAACAACUCGCAUCACGUUGGAUGCAAAGGCUGCUGCUCCAUCAUUCGGGUGAUGCUUCGGUAGCGACUCACUUGCUCCGGCAUUUCCAGUGUCUGAUGCGUUUUUCUUUUUCCCUCUGCUCUUCUUGUCUUCCUCGUCUCACUUUCCACUCGUGCUCUCUCUGUGCUUGUAAGUUGCACCAACGUGUGCGUGUGAGCGCGCCUCCUGCCCAUUGGCCCGUGGCCGUUGUGAAAAACGCUCGUUUCCGGUGUUCUGUGUUCCCCCUCUUCGUCCUAUUCGAGGUUUUGCUAUCUUUUUUUUCCUUUGGCCGGUGUAGCCGAGGCGCUUUCCUCUCGCCUUCCUCCCUUCCCCCCCCCGCGAUCGUCCCUCCUGCUUUGUGUGGGAUUCUCUCGCUGCAUCUAUGCCGUUUCGCGUACGCUCCAUAUUGCCUCCCACCAACGAACAGCUUCAUAAACAUCCUCUCUGAUAGUUCCUCCCAAUGUCAGGGGAGGCUGCAGCGGCGGAGCAGCGCAUGCGAGACUAUGAGGUCUUCGAGCAUCUCGGCUCCGGGGCAACAAGCGACGUGUACCGUGUGGUGAACAAGACGAACAACCGCACCUAUGUCCUGAAAAAAAUGUCACUCGCGAACAUGAGCGACGAGGAGCAGCUGCGGGCCAAGCAGGAGAUUAUCGUGAUGGACAACGUAGACCACCCGAACAUCGUCAAGUUUCGGGAGAGCUUCAUGGACCCGGCCGACAACUCCGUCGACAUCAUUAUGGAGUACUGCGAGUUCGGCACCCUCGAGGAUCUCAUUGAACGACAGCGCUACGAGGGUCGCCCCUUUCCAACCGAUGUGUUGCUGGAGUGGAUGGCGGAGCUGCUAUGCGGACUCUCCCACAUCCACUCUAACCGAAUCCUUCACCGCGACCUCAAGACGAGCAACAUUUUUGUAACGUCCAAGAAUCAUUUGAAGCUUGGUGACUUUGGCGUCUGCACGAUCCUGUCGAACCCAAACGCCAAGGCGGAGAGCAUGAUCGGUACCCCUCUCUACUUCGCCCCGGAGGUGUGCAACAGCGACCCCCACGAUGAGAGGAGCGACGUGUGGAGUCUCGGCGUCGUCUUUUACGAGAUGUGCACCCUGCGCCGUCCUUUUGAAGCAGGCAACCUAUUCACACUCAUCCAGCUCAUCCUCGAGUCUGACAUCGAGCCAUUCGGCAACGGCGUGGAUGGCUCGCUGGAGGGGCUUGUGCGGCAGAUGCUGGACAGGGACCCGAGUCGGCGCCCAACAGCGCAGGAGCUCAUUGAUGUGCAUCUGGAAGUCCCUGUGAGCCACCCAUCGCACCCGUCGCAGAAGCCGUCCAGAGGCCGUCUCCUUCAACAGUUCAGCGGCCCAGAGCUGCAAUACACAAAAAAGUGGCCACCCCCUGAGGGGUCCGUGACCGUCCCCCCGAAGAGUGGCAAGGCACGCGCGACAGACGAAUGGAUUCACACUGGCAGUGCGCUGGACGUUUUUGUGGAGCUGCAGCGCACUUUGCACCGUAUCCCGACCGCUGCCAAAGCCAAGGACGGCGCUGCCUUCACUCCAUCGCCACAAUCUGCGCCUGGCGCCACACUCAAAGUAUCCUCUGCAGUUGCAAAGCCGAAGCCGGAGAAGUCAGCCAAGAAAUCGACGGGCGCUAAGGGUACUGCGGGCACUACCACCGCUUCUAGCUCGCUCCCUCGAACAAAGGCCAUAGAGCACGCCGGCGCGCAGAAGGAGGAUGCUGUCUUAGGUACUUCACUGCUCAGCUUUACAAUGCGGGAGCUGCAGCUCGACGUGCAGCGACGCCGCACAUCCAUGUUUGGGGAGGAGAAGUCGCUAAACAGCGACGACAUACCCCUCGUGAUCGAGGUGCAGGGGGAAUCGUUCUCGGAGGCGACAGCAGCAAAAGCCACUGUUUCGUUUCUUGCUGACAUCGCUGCUGUCAUUGAUCGACACACGGCGAACGGGGGACAGAUUGCCUUGGAGGCUUUAGACGGGGCUGCUUGCCUCCUUUCCGAAUACAAGCACCUCAAGUACGCGCGAUGAAGGCCGGCGUGCCGACAGCGGAGUCUCCUCGUCGCGCCACUUCAGGCCCCAUCGUUCUACCUUACUGAGCGGGAGGGGGCCUACAGAUGUCGCAGUGCCACCAACGGCGGAUGCAUAGCGGUGUCUCAUUACUGUCCCGCGCCCUUCUCUUUGUCCUGCUUCUCUUUCAAUCUUGUCAGGGCCCGCCCCGCCCCGGCCACGGUUUUGACACAUCUUCGUUCUAAGAGACACACCUGCACCGUGUCUUCCGUACGCGACUGCCAUUCGGCGCCCAUCCUCUUCUUUUCUUCCUCCCGCUUACCGCCCUGUUCUGGCUUGUGGCACUUUGUUGUUGUUCUCUCUGGCGGGACGUUGUGAAAUUUCUUUCUUGCUGUGCCAGCUGAGGCGGCCGCAGCUGGCGAUGACGUGGGCGUGUGCGCGAGGAUGGAGCGAGUGAGAGGUCUGUGUGUGUGCGUGUUAAUGUAGAGGCAGCCGUGUAUCCUUUUCUACGCCUCCCUGCUUUUUCUUCUUGUCGGUCUCGCUUUCUGCCAUGCGCAUGUCACGGAGCAGAAACGUCGCGAAGUCAAGCGUUGUAAGGUAGGCUGCGAGGUGGGUGAACGGCUUGUCGGUCUUCGUAGUUACGAAGUGUUGAGAUGAUGAGCAAUUUUACGGGUCUCGGUUGCUUGACAAUAGCCCCCUGGAGUCUCCUCGAUCUCCUCCCCUCUGCGCUCUCUCGCUGGGGUGUUUUGGCGUGUACUGAUGUCUCGUGCGCGCCUCGCGCUCUUUGCUAUCCUCCCUUCUCUGCGUGUUCCUCUCUCUAUCCUCCCUUCUCUUGAACGCGCAUAG
rnacentral:misc_RNA from 1 species